rnacentral:lncRNA from 1 species
CCGCAUAAGCUGACUCCAUAUAUAUAUUUUCUGGGGCCCCGCAGUGGCUGAGUUGCCCCGGGCCCCGCACCCUCCUAGGGACGGCCCUGACUAUUAGGACAGGAGGUGAUAGUUAUAUCCACGUGGUUAUUGCAUCUUUGUAUUUACUUAGGAAAUGAACUACUAAGGAAAAUAAAGGAAAUAGACGAUAAAGUGAUGGUCUUAUUAUAAAAGAGGUGACAUUUACUAGAACCUGACCUAACUAACCAAAGAAACCUAAUUAACUUACCUACUUUUUUAGCAGGGGGCGGAUCUCCCUUCAUACAAUGACAAUAAAGGCUAGUGACGGGGGGAGGUUCAGUGGAAGUUUAAAGGGGAUGAUGGAAGGGAAUUUUUGUGAGAGAAAAAAGGUGCCGUGGCUUAACACAACUUGCGUGUGGGCGAUGAGGCAGUGCCGUGAUUAGUGGAGGGAGCUACACCACGCUCGGACUCGACGGCAGGGGGAGUAUUAAAUAGAAAGUACUUAUUAGCCACUAACAGUGCCAGCCUGCAGCGGUUCAUGGCUUUCCUGGUGAGGCCUUCUCGCACUGAUGGUCCCCUGUCAAAGCUUUUCUACUGAAGGAGCCUAAUCUUUAAACCCACAGCAUUAGUUAACUGGCAAUCAGAAAUAUACAAACAGUGAGAGUCCUUUAACCCUCAUUGUCCACCUCAUCUGCACUCCAUUUGCCUGAGUGACUGUAGGAGGAGGUAGUGUUGCUGCUGGCUGCCCUGUGGGAGUAAAUUAAUCUCAAGCUUCUGUAACCUUCCUUUACCAGUACAAGAGAGGACAGGUGCUGCCAUGGACAUCCAUAGGAUUUUUUCCAGGGUGUGCAAGAAAGGAAGAGGUUGGCCACGAUGUGGGUGAGGGAGGGAUCAUCUACACUCCUGCUGGACAGGUCAUCCACCCCAUAAUGUAGGUGAAGGAGGGAUUAUCCGCCUUCCUCCUCCUGCUGCUGCUCAGAAUCGAAUAUGACGUUCAUCCAACUAAGAAGCCUAUUAUACAAUGAUACGAGUUAUUAAGGAUGUCACCUUCGUUGGUGAGUUCUCAGGUGACUAAAGAGGCCGAUACGGGAUUGGCAGGGUUGUCCACAGUUGUUGCAAAUGUGGGGGGCCACAUCUAGUGCGCGGGAGGAGCAGUAUCUUUCCAGCUUUGGCGUUUGUCUGCUUUGAUAUGCAGUUGGGUUAACUGGAAAGCAUCGAUACCUUCUGUGGUGCUCCUCCAAGUUUAAUGGUGUGGAGUAUUCAUUUCCCAUGUCAGGGGGGUCGAUUUGACAUUUUUUCAGGUUUGUCUCAAGACUAUUCUACUUUUUCAGUUGUCCGCCAGCGUUAUGUUUACUAUUCGUUAGGUGACCGUAGAAUAGCUGCUUUGGCAGUCUACUGUCGACCAUGCGGGUAACAUGGCUGCUGCUGGCUUGAUCGUUCACACCAUGAUGUGGGUGAAGGAGGGGUCAUCCACCCUACUUUACAAAUUAGUCAGACAUUUCAAGUACUGGGCAUUUAUUGACUGUUAUGCACUGUGUGUGUGUGUGUGUGUGUGUGUGUGUUUAGGGCUCUGGAGGACUGUGUGUGUGUGUGUUGGAGGGCUCUGGAGGACUGUGUGUGUGUG